rnacentral:rRNA from 1 species
GCAAGUCGAACGAACGUAGAGAGCUUGCUCUCUACAAUGUUAGUGGCAAACGGGUUAGUAACACGUGUGACUCUACCCAUCAGUACGGAACAACAUUUGGAAACAAAUGCUAAUACCGUAUAUUCUCGCGAGAGGAAAGAUUUAUCGCUGAUGGAUGAGCCCGCGUAAGAUUAGGUAGUUGGUAGGGUAAUGGCCUACCAAGCCGACGAUCUUUAGCUGGUCUGAGAGGAUGAUC